ensembl:lncRNA
GGUAUUAGAGAUGUGUGCACCACAGCUGGCUUGUAUUUUUAGUACAGAGAAUGUUUCACCAUGUUUUCCAAGCUGUUCUUAAAAUCCUGAUCCACCCUCCUCGGACUCCCAAAGUGCUAAGAUUACAGGCAUGAGCCACCACUCUCAGCCUAUCGGAUUUAAUUGAUGAUAUGAAUGGAAAUGCUUUAAACCUCAUACUUUUGGGAAAGUGAAUUGUAUAAAACAAACUGCAGCAUAAACUUUCAGACAGGAUUGCUUAAAGGUUUAAGAAAUCAUCGAAUGAUAAAAAGAUUUGGACCUAAAUAACUAAACUGAUUUAUGUUCCUGAUUAUACAACAUAAAGAAAUGAAAUACAUGAAGUUCCAGAAGUUUUGCAGUCCGUAACUCUUAUAAUUAACAGACUAAUCUCCAAGGAAGGAAUAUUUUCUUGAGAAAUUUUUGACAAAAUCAUCACUUUUUAUAGGGUAAAGGUACAAAUAAUUUUAAAGGGAGAAGUUACUAACUUUGAUUUUCAACUGAAUUAUUCGUUCUAUGAAGUUGUGUUUUCAUUCACCUAUAACAUAGGAUUGUAAGCAUGAAGUACAAAGAUAAAACUCCCUAGUCUUGUGUAUCUUACUAUCCAGGUGUGAUGACUCAGGUCUUUAAUUCCAACACUUGGGGAGGUUGAAACUUACAGAUCACUUUAGGUCAAGAGUUGAAGACCAGGCUGGCCAACACCAUGAAAUCCCAUCUCUAACAAAAAUAUAAAAAUUAGCUGGGUGUACUGGUGCAUGCCUGUAGUAUGUUACAGUUAAUUGGGAGGCGCAAGCAGGAGAAUCGUUUGAGCCUAGGAGGCUGCAGCUGCAGUGAGCCGAUAUUGCACCAUGUACUCUAACCUGGGUGAAGUUCUACCUUCGCUCUAUUAAUUCUUUUGAAAUAUACAAUAAAUCAUUAUUUAAUGUACUCAUCCUGUGCUACUGAACACUAGAUCUUAUUCCUUCUAAGAAACUAUAAUUUAACCCACCACUAUCCCCUCUUUGAUCCCUUCCUUACCAGUACACAUUGCUUGUAUCAAAAUAUCACAUGUAUGCCAAAAGUAUCUAAAACUGUUAUGUACAAUUUUUUUAAAAGAAGUAAGAAAAUAAUAAAAAGAGUGUUUCCAACAAGGUAAUAAAAUAGGUGGCUCUAAUAUGUUCCUCCACCCACCACUGCAACAAAUAAAAAGCACACCCACAUCAAUUCCUUAUGAGAUAAACUCAAAUCUAGUUGAGAUACUCUUACAGAUAGGAUUAUGAAAAUACUCACUUAACAAGAUGUAAGAAAAACUGAAUCAUGAUCUUGUUCUAGAGUUUGUAUCUGACACAGUGCCCUAGAAUCAAUAGGGAACUAUUAUUUCACAGCUUCUCUCAGAGGACUGAAGUUUUAAACCACAUAUGUAAUGCCACAACUGUUACAGCUGCUUCUCAGUGAAAUGAUUGCCUAUCUCUGGAUUCUAACACAGAUUAGCAUUUUUAACUCUCUGAGGACCUCCAAAAUAAAAGAGAGAUUUAAAUAGACAUUCAAGCACUUCCAAACUGUUUCCUCCUGGUUUACUUAAUCUCAAGUAGUUAAGAAAGCCCAGCUCCCACUUUGUACCUUGAAGAUCUUAGAUUGUACAUCUGACGUCUUGAUAUUUUUUUCUUCUUUUU